GACUGCGGAGAUCAUUAAAAAAUAAUCACUGUAUUGUGAUUUUAAUAAUCAUCCUACCCUUUGUGAAUUUGUUUUGUAAAGAAAAUUUAUGUUGUCUAUCCCUGGUGGUUUUUUGGAAAAGUUGAAAAACUUUUUCGAAUCCUCAGGGACUAGGCUUUCAUAGACCUUUUUUUUAAAUUAAACUUUUUGUAUUCAUUUGUCUAAAAUUUAUUUUUAAUAAUUUAAAAACAACUUUUGACAAUGGAUCUCUUGGUUCUCGCAACGAUGAAGAACGCAGCAAAAUGCGAUAAGUAAUGUGAAUUGCAGAAUACGUGAAUCAUCAAAUCUUCGAACGCGUAUUGCACUUUUCUAGUUUACUAGAAAAGUAUGUCUGUUUGAGUAUCAGUAAAAUAUUCUCAUAAAAAACAUUGUUUUUUAUGGUUAUGAGUGUUUUACAACGAUAAACAAGUUGUUUCACUUUAAAUUGAUUUUUAAAAGCCAAUUUGGUUUUAUCUAAUAAAAUUGGAUAAAAUUUUCCCGUAAAAAGGAAUAAACUUUUCAGUUUUAAAAGGUAAAACUUUAGUUGAGCCUAAUAAAAGGAAAUUUAACAAAAUAACUUGAUCUCAAAUCAGAUAAGAGUACCCGCUGAACUUAAGCAUAUCAAUAAGCGGAGGA
rnacentral:rRNA from 1 species